GAAUGCUGAGUGUUACAUGAACAUUUAUCAGAGAGCUUAUUUUCCUGACUGCAUCAUGUGAUGUGACAGGACUCAGGGUACAACCUGCUGCCAUUGAGAAGCGAGAAGCACAGAGCAAUGACCAGCUGAGGACACAGACCACUUGUUUCCUGGAGCAUGCAUGCUUCGUGCCUGCUGGCCAUGUGAGAGGACAGCUGGAACAGACUGCCCCCAGUCCUGACCUAUGGUGGGCAAGUCCAGCUGAGUGCAUAAAGACACACUCACUGAGCACUGGCCACACAACUGCAUUGGAAGAAGGAGGGAGAAAUCCAAGAAUAAAAAAGAAUGUACAAAGACA